UACAGAGGGGGCAAGCGUUAUUCGGAAUUAUUGGGCGUAAAGGGCGCGUAGGCGGCUUGGCAAGUGGAUGCUGAAAUCCCUCGGCUUAACCGAGGAACUGCCGUCCAAACUGCUUCGCUUGAGACCGGGAGAGGUGAGUGGAAUUCCCAGUGUAGCGGUGAAAUGCGUAGAUAUUGGGAGGAACACCAGUGGCGAAGGCAGCUCACUGGACCGGUACUGACGCUGAUGCGCGAAAGCGUGGGGAGCAAACGGG
rnacentral:rRNA from 1 species